CGGCGCAGCGCAGACAGCCCAGGGCCUCCCUCCGGCGCGGCGCGGACAGCCUGGGGCCUCCCACGGGCGCGGCGCGCUCCGGUGACGGCGGCGGCUGAGGCGGCAGGAUGCCUCCGAAAGGGAAAGGCGGCGGCAAGGGGGGCAAGGGUGGCGAUGGCGGCGGCGAGGGCAAGGCCCAGGGCCCGAAGGGCGGCGGCAGCGCCGUGAAGGUUCGACACAUCCUGUGCGAAAAGCACGGCAAAGCCAUGGAGGCCAUGGAGAAGCUGAAGUCCGGAGUGCGCUUCAGCGAAGUAGCCACACAGUACAGCGAGGAUAAAGCCAGACAAGGGGCAGUGACAAGAGAGCAGAAAGGCACGGCUGAAGCAUACAAGCCCCACAGCAGCAGGAAAGCACUUGUUAAGGGCAGGGUGCUGGCCUGCCUUGGUUCUAGCCAGCCAUCACUUGCUGAGAGGCACCACUGAGAGUUCAUCCCUGUGCUGUCCUCCCAUUUAUGAAGUGGUACACCCUGCAGAGACUGAGACUUCCAAACACUGGCUGGAAAGGGAGACUUGGGCUGGAUGACCAGAGGUUCCAUGGUGGGACCUUUCCAGGACGCAGCAUUUGCCUUGCCUGUGAGCAGCAUGGACAAGCCAGUAUAUACAGACCCUCCUGUCAAAACAAAGUUUGGGUACCACAUUAUCAUGGUGGAAGGCAGGAAAUAAAAUAUGCAUGACCCUUAAA